GGGUGCUCUUGGCUUUUCUGCCAUGAGCAUAGUAGCGUUCAGCUUGUGGUAGAAAAGACGAAAGCCCCGAAAGUUAAAUAUCUUUAACCAACGAGGCUCAAAUCAUGUUCAUAAGCAAAACUGAUUUUAGUCUCUAUUUAAUUAAGGGGCAAGCAAUAUGCUACGAAAG
rnacentral:antisense_RNA from 1 species